AGAGACAUCUUUUGCUUAUCGAAGCUUGUCCGUACGAACAAUGGGAAAAACUAGUUGCCGUAAAACGUUGACGGUAUGAUGGUCUUAUUAUCAGUGGUCAUCCUACCAAUGCACUACCAAAUUUUGCGCUGGUCAUAACUACACAAUCAGGAAUGUCUCAAGUUUAUUGUAAUUUAUGACUAUCAUAUCUCUUUCGUUAUAUUAGCCGGUGUGUGAAGAUUUGUAAUAUCGUUUUAGUUGAUGAACCAGUUGUUUUUAGAAAAUAUUCGAAAUGAAACCCGUGGAUCAUGUAUUAUCCAAUAAUACAAACCGUUGUCAUCCUUUUCUGUUUUAUUGUUAAAAUUACUGAAUGUUUCAAGAUUCCUGCCACAGGUGGAUUACUGUCGCAGCUGACCGGCGCGUCACAACUCUCAGGAUUGAUCGAUACCCUGCUCAAGAUACCGAAUAGAUUCUACGAUGACCGCACAGUGUACGCGGCUACAACGGCUGCAUCGUAUCCGGAUGUCAGCGCCUAUACCAUUGGACCGGGAGUGUCGUAUCCCGUGGUAGUCGGCAUCCCGAAUCCCAACUAUACCAAAGGUACGUCAACCACAGACACGGUUGUAGAAAAGUACAUUCCACAAACCGAUAAAGCCUACGCGGCACUUCCGCCGCUGACCGUCAUUGUCCACACGGACAACCGUCCAUUGAAUGUGAUCUCUGCUCCGCCAAAUAUCAACCACAUCUCCAUCCGCCCACCGCUCGGAUCAGCGUAUCCGGCAGGGAAUUACGGCCCAGUGUACACCAAUUCGGCGCCGGUGGCAGUUGAUGCUUCAUAUGUUCCAAAUCCUGGAUAUGUCUCAUCGUCCACCGCCGUGUCGGCAGUGGAUGCAUUUAACCCAGGUGUGACGGUUAUUAAUUCAGCACCGCCUUGCAAGGCCGAUGGUUUCAUCCCGGGACCGGGUGUGACUGUUAACUGCGGAGAUCAGCCGAUUGUCUACCCGGAUAUCGAUACGGACAAUUACAUUUACAACGGGAUUUCGUAUCCGAAUUCUGCAGGGUCCGAUUAUCUGAACCCACCUGUUGCUUAUCCAGCUGUCAACCAUGUCAAUACUUAUUCAUCGCCCAGCAUCCCGGUUGUGCAGGCUAACGUGAUACCAGUGCUACCAUCUUCUGGCUACGGGAAUAAUAAUGGAAAUUUGGGAUCAUAUGGAUCUAACGCUCCGGCCUACAACGCUCCUAGCGUUUCUAGUUACGGGGCUUCCGGUCAGCCAACUGCAGUUGCUGUGGGUGAACCUUUGACUCCAAUUUUCGCCAGUGGCGUAUAUGCUUCAGCUGGUAGUGAUCCGCCGGAUGGUUACAACAGCAAACCCGCCACUUACCCAACUUCCCAGACGUAUGUGCCGCCGGUCGUGGACUCAGUCGUGGAUGUUAUUGGUAAUGUAGCGGGACAGAUUUAUUCUGCUACGGAUAAAUUAGCUAGCGCGUACAAUUCCCAAGGAAAGCCGUCGUAUGGAAAAGGUCAAACUUAUGCGGGCUCCUACGGCGAUUCCGGGAAUUCGUACGGUAAUCCAUCAAAAUCGCGACCACCAUAUUACAGUGGGGAAGGUGAAUAUCCGCCGUAUCCUAAUCAGAACCAUAUAAACGACUAUGAGAAUCAGUACAAAGAGAACACCGAUGAUUACGGAAACCAGUACGGUGGUAGACCAAAUAAGCGGCCCAGUGAUUACGAUUUUGAAAUUGACCACAAUGUGGACAACGUAGCGAAUUCCUUGUUUUUCAACCCGAAUAACCAGUAUCCAGGCGGAAGUCCUCAGUUUCCCAGUGGACCGUAUGGUUAUGGUGCUUAUGGAAUUUCCGGAAUUCCCCGGUGCCGGUACCGCCGAUGCCAUUCUAUGGAGGAUAUUCCGGGUCAUUCCUUACCGGCGCGCCGCCCCUGGGUGCAUUUGGCUACCAAAAUGGUUAUUUUAGUACUCCUUUUGUGCCUGGUGGAAGUUUCGGAUAUGGUGGAAGUUCUUACGAUACGUAUGGAGGAAACGUUGGCGCAUACCCGCCUACCAACCGCCGCCGUAGUCCCAGCGAUAUUGGGAUAUUUGCCAAACUCUUAAAUCCUUACCAGUCUCUAGGAUAUUUCCGAGGAAAUCCCUUCCGACAAGGUUAUUCGCCGUUUUACGCCAGUGAUCAGCCGUUGCCGGCACGGAUCGGUGGGUCUCGACCACCGGUCGCAGCUCAUGGGUUUGGUCAUAGCCGAUUUGUUGGAUGAUGACGACGAUGAUCGUCAGCAAGAAAGCAACGAUGCUGAAGGAGUAAUAAACCACAGAAGUGCAGUGACUACAGGCUCCAGUAUGUGGGAAC